rnacentral:rRNA from 1 species
UGGGGAUAACAGGCUUAUCUCCCCCAAGAGUCCACAUCGACGGGGAGGUUUGGCACCUCGAUGUCGGCUCAUCACAUCCUGGGGCUGUAGUAGGUCCCAAGGGUUGGGCUGUUCGCCCAUUAAAGUGGUACGCGAGCUGGGUUCAGAACGUCGUGAGACAGUUCGGUCCCUAUCCGUCGCAGGCGUAGGAAAUUUGAGAAGACCUGUCCUUAGUACGAGAGGACCGGGAUGGACGUACCUCUGGUGUACCAGUUGUCCUGCCAAGGGCAUGGCUGGGUAGCUAUGUACGGAAUGGAUAAGCGCUGAAAGCAUCUAAGCGCGAAGCCAACUUCAAGAUAAGAUUUCCCACCGCAAGGGUAAGACCCCAGAAAGACUAUCUGGUUGAUAGGUCGAAGGUGUAAGUGCAGCAAUGUAUUUAGCUUAUCGAUACUAAUAGGUCGAGGACUUGACCAAU